rnacentral:tRNA from 1 species
GCCCAGGUAGCUCAGUUGGUAGAGCAGGGGACUGAAAAUCCCCGUGUCGGCGGUUCGAAUCCGUCCCUGGGCACCA